AGGUAAAGUGGCCGAACAGGUAUUGAGUUGUAGCCUCAAUAAUAAAGGUUAAAAUCCUUUCUAUACCAG
rnacentral:tRNA from 1 species